GACGAACGCUGGCGGCGUGCUUAACACAUGCAAGUCGAACGGAAAGGCCCCUUCGGGGGUACUCGAGUGGCGAACGGGUGAGUAACACGUGAGUAACCUGCCCUUGACUUCGGGAUAACUUCAGGAAACUGGGGCUAAUACCGGAUAGGAAUCCUUGCUGCAUGGUGGGGGUUGGAAAGCUUCGGCGGUUUUGGAUGGACUCGCGGCUUAUCAGCUUGUUGGUGGGGUAGUGGCUUACCAAGGCUUUGACGGGUAGCCGGCCUGAGAGGGCGACCGGCCACAUUGGGACUGAGAUACGGCCCAGACUCCUACGGGAGGCAGCAGUGGGGAAUAUUGCACAAUGGGCGGAAGCCUGAUGCAGCAACGCCGCGUGCGGGAUGACGGCCUUCGGGUUGGAAACCGCUUUCAGCAGGGGCGAAGCUUGUGGUGACGGUACCUGCAGAAGAAGCACCGGCUAACUACGUG
rnacentral:rRNA from 1 species